ensembl:lncRNA
GGAGAGCUGAUGUAAUCCUUGCCCCUGUUAUGAAGCCUUGGCCUCUCUUCUGUUGGACAGAAUUGUUCUUUGGAAAGUAGAAUAGAUGAUGAAAGCUCAGUGGGGGAACACAAGAGGUAGUUAUAAGAGGCUGAAGUAAAAGAAAGUCAAGAAUAUGAACAAUUCUGAGCUGGUGCUUGUGAUGCCUGGAGAAAAGCACUUGAUGCAAAAGUUGCAGAGAACUUUUUGCUUUCCUCAUUAAUGUAUCGAAGAAGGAGUUUUUACUCAAAGGACACGUACAAAGAAGUCAGGUUGCUUGUUCUGUGGAACACGGAGUCAGAGGAGCAGAUGAAGAAGAAAGAAGUGUGAGCUUGUGUGUGUGUGGAUUCAUCUUGCCAUGGAUCAGGAGUUCACCUUGUGAGAGCUCGUGUGGACAGAAGUGGAAUUGCUUCAUCAAGGAAUUACUGGAGCGUAAUCACCUUAAUUUCUCCUCAUUAUUUGGGAAAGCAGAACAGCGGUGUGAUUAGAGUGAGGAAUGAGACAACAGUCUAC